GUGCUGUUGCACACAGACCUGCCAUAGCUCCUGGAAGAUCAAUUUGAGAUGACUGUGCUCCCAUGUCUGGCAUUUGUUGGGAUGAAUGUUAUUUCUCUGAGCCAUUUGUUGAAGAUGCUGCCUUUCUUUCAGAGUGGAUUUUGGUCGCCUAUCAGAUUGAUAUUAGCGAUGGCUACAGUCAUCUGAAGCUUGAUUGGGCUAGAUUAGCAGGAUGACUCAAUGCCUUUCCUGAGCCUCUGCCUUGAAGACGUUCGUCUCGGGGAAUUCCAGACUUCUAUCCCAAGGUUUCAAAUCCAUAUCAGCAUUGCAUGAACUGCGAAGGUGCGAACUCAGGCCUGUGACGUGAAGAUUAUCCACCCUAGACAGAUGGUUGGCAUGUUUCCAAACAAGGACAUACAGGCCUGCUGGGGUCACCUCAGUGACUACAUCAACACGGCAGAGGACAGAUCUGCACUGAAAUAAGAUAUGAGCAGAACAGCAUCGUCUCUCUCAGCCACAACAGAGCCAUCUGUCUUAAAUUAACCUAAAGCCUGUUAGCUGAAGCCUAGUUACGCAUUGCAAGCUGCUUGGAGAAAACAAUUUAAAAAGUCCUUCGGUGGUAGCAUCCUGUCACUAAAGAAAGCUUUAAUAAGCAGGGUAUUCCAGGCAGGUAAAGCUUCCCUUCUUUUGAGCCACAUUCACCAAAAGGAAAGAUGUUCCAAUCUCCCAGCACCCUGCUGAGAACUUUGAUGAGGCAGCUGUCAGGGGAGACAGCACUGCUCUGUGAUAACACCUAUUGUCCACUGUUAGCUCUACAGUUGGGAGUAAGACAAAACUGCAAAUGUGUAUUGUGCAGCAUACAUAGCAGCUGGGAGAUACACAGAAAAUCUCCAAGGCGUAGAUUUUAAAUAAAACCCAAACAACCUAAAUACUCUCUCUUUUCCUUUCAUUCUCUGGGUUUUCCUCUUCAUAGGAAUGGGUGGGAUUUUUCCAAUCUGUGACUCUCCUGCUCCCAGAUAUUUCUGAGAUGUCAGUGUUCUAAAAAGAAAAAAAAAAAAAAAGAAAAGAAAAGAAAAUGUCUCCACACUGGAA
rnacentral:lncRNA from 1 species